rnacentral:lncRNA from 1 species
CUAAAAAUGCUGAUUUUGGAAUUUUAAUUUAGGAUAUUAUGCUGAUUUUUCACUCUCUCAUUACAGAAACAUCCUCUGUUUCUACAACUGACAACCUUUGCCAUAGACAAAAUUUAAUGUUGUUGCAUAAUUAAAGUAUGAUUUUGUAACACAUUUGAUAAAUAACCUUUGCGAUAGACAAAUUUAUUUUUAUAAAACUUGUUGCGUAAUUAAAGUACUCAUUAGGGGAAUAAUUUUGUAACACAUUUCUUAACUGCUAUUUGAAAAGAUUGAUUUUUCGCAACA